rnacentral:rRNA from 1 species
UACGUAGGUGGCAAGCGUUAUCCGGAAUUAUUGGGCGUAAAGAGUGCGUAGGCGGUUGAUUAAGUCUGAUGUGAAAGCCCACGGCUUAACCGUGGAGGGUCAUUGGAAACUGGUGAACUUGAGUGCAGAAGAGGGAAGUGGAAUUCCAUGUGUAGCGGUGAAAUGCGUAGAGAUAUGGAGGAACACCAGUGGCGAAGGCGGCUUCCUGGUCUGUAACUGACACUGAGGCGCGAAAGCGUGGGGAGCAAACAGG